GCCAGGUGCAGUGUUGCAUACCUGUAAUCCCAGCUGCUCGGGAGGCUGAGGCAGGAGGAUCGCAAGUUCAAAGCCAGCCUCAGCAACUUAGCGAGGCACUAAGCAACUCAGUGAGACUUUGUCUCUA
rnacentral:sRNA from 1 species